GACAGACUGCAGUCAGUGACCCUGCUGUCGGCAGCGGGAAGGUAGAAGGAGGGAGGUGCUCUUCUACACUCCUGCAGAGUAGCUGAUGACUCUCACACAGAAGCCAUUGACAGCCCAGGGCAGGCCGAAUGAUGAACAAAGCACGAACGUGGCAUGAACUGCAUGGGCCCAACCAGAGAAGAUCCAGCGCUGUAAUGUCUGUGGUCAGGAUCGUUGAAAUUUCAGGAACUUAGAUGUGGGGCACAGAAGAGAACAACAGAGCCCCGUUUCUCUGUAAUUUUUUUUGCAUAAUACCUCUUUUGUGAAGAUCUCAGCUGUUUCAAGAGGAAGAGAGGAAAACCCCAAAGCAUCCCUAUGCCUUGUCUCAAACUCAGGCUCCCAUCCCGUCCCCACACGUUCCUGUGACUGCGCACAUACACAUACACACACGUAAAGCCAGCUGUGCAGGGUUUGUACCACCUACUACUGUCUGUAUUUCACACAAUUCCCAGCCAACCAUCUGCUUUCUAACCAACUGCUCUCUGGGCGGUCUCACACAGUCCUGCCCACUCCAACAUCAUGCAUUUCUUCCUUCCUCAGUGUUUCCUCCUCACACAACAGAGCUCCGAGGUCAGUGCUGGCACCACAGGCAGGUCAGCUGAAGAAGAUAAAACUUUUCCCAUGUUUCCCUGCUGGUUUCUUACGGCCUUGCUGGCCCAUGUAGGCUGGGCUCUUCAGCAAACCCCAGACAUGAUUGUCCGACUGGGAGACUCCCUGACUCUGAACUGUUCACACAAAGAGAGUGUAAUCCCGACCAUGUUCUGGUACAAGCUGCCAGUGGGGAAGAACGCCACUUUGCAGCUGAUUGUUCGUUCAGUGGUAGGUAGCAAAGCAGAGUUUGAGGAAGAAUUCAAAAGCCGCUUCCAAAGCAGUGGGACUAAGGGGAACUCCUUAUCAAUGGCGAUAGAUCACGUCCUACUCAAUGACUCAGGCACUUAUUUCUGCGCUAAGCAAGAUACACUGUGACACGAAGGCUGGAGCAGCACAACGCAAACCUCUCUCCAUACAAGUGGAGACCUGACCCCUGAACACACAGUCCACUGUGUACCAGUAGAACUAUUUUUCCACUUUUGACCUCCAGCUCUGUCCACUUAAGUAGUGGUUUCCUCUCUGUGUCUUCUGCUUGUUCUCUGCUCUUUUCCCCUUUCCACCUCUGAACAAAUUCUGAUCCUACUUUUGAUACCAACUGUAAUGCUAUUGUUAAGCUUGUUAGAAUUCACUG